rnacentral:rRNA from 1 species
AGCGAACGCUGGCGGCAGGCCUAACACAUGCAAGUCGAACGAACUCUUCGGAGUUAGUGGCGGACGGGUGAGUAACACGUGGGAACGUGCCUUUUGGUUCGGAAUAACUCAGGGAAACUUGUGCUAAUACCGAAUGUGCCCUUCGGGGGAAAGAUUUAUCGCCAUUAGAGCGGCCGGCGUCUGAUUAGAUAGUUGGUGCGGUAACGGCUCACCAAGGCGACGAUCAGUAGCUGGUCUGAGAGGAUGACCAGCCACACUGGGACUGAGACACGGCCCAGACUCCUACGCGAGGCAGCAGUGGGGAAUCUUGCGCAAUGGGCGAAAGCCUGACGCAGCCAGGCCGCGUGAAUGAUGAAGGUCUUAGGAUUGUAAAAUUCUUUCACCGGGGACGAUAAUGACGGUACCCGGAGAAGAAGCCCCGGCUAACUUCGUG